GGAGUGCUGCUCAGCGUGAGGUAAUACAGUAGGGGAGUGCACUCAGUGUGAGGUAAUACAGUAGGGGGAGUGCUGCUCAGCGUGAGGUAAUACAGUAGAGGGAGUGCUGCUCAGCGUGAGGUAAUACAGUAGGGGGAGUGCUGCUCAGCGUGAGGUAAUACAGUAGGGGGAGUGCUGCUCAGCGUGAGGUAAUACAAGAACGUACUCGGAGAAUGAGAGUCAGUCUGUGUGUCAGUCUGUGUGUCAGUCUAUGUGUCAGUCUGUGUGUCAGUCUGUGUGUCAGUCUGUGUGUCAGUCUGUGUGUCAGUCUGUGUGUCUGUCUGUGUGUCAGUCUGUGUGUCAGUCU
ensembl:lncRNA